rfam:Toxocara canis scaffold773, whole genome shotgun sequence.
CGGGCAGUAGCUCAGUGGUCCAGCUCCCGCUUCGUAUACGGGAAGACCUGGGUUCGAUUCCCGGCUGCUCAC